rnacentral:rRNA from 1 species
UGGCGGCGUGCUAUACAUGCAGUCGAGCGGACCGACGGGAGCUUGCUCCCUUAGGUCAGCGGCGGACGGGUGAGUAACACGUGGGUAACCUGCCUGUAAGACUGGGAUAACUCCGGGAAACCGGGGCUAAUACCGGAUGCUUGAUUGAACCGCAUGGUUCAAUCAUAAAAGGUGGCUUUUAGCUACCACUUACAGAUGGACCCGCGGCGCAUUAGCUAGUUGGUGAGGUAACGGCUCACCAAGGCGACGAUGCGUAGCCGACCUGAGAGGGUGAUCGGCCACACUGGGACUGAGACACGGCCCAGACUCCUACGGGAGGCAGCAGUAGGGAAUCUUCCGCAAUGGACGAAAGUCUGACGGAGCAACGCCGCGUGAGUGAUGAAGGUUUUCGGAUCGUAAAACUCUGUUGUUAGGGAAGAACAAGUACCGUUCGAAUAGGGCGGUACCUUGACGGUACCUAACCAGAAAGCCACGGCUAACUACGUGCCAGCAGCCGCGGUAAUACGUAGGUGGCAAGCGUUGUCCGGAAUUAUUGGGCGUAAAGCGCGCGCAGGCGGUUUCUUAAGUCUGAUGUGAAAGCCCCCGGCUCAACCGGGGAGGGUCAUUGGAAACUGGGGAACUUGAGUGCAGAAGAGGAGAGUGGAAUUCCACGUGUAGCGGUGAAAUGCGUAGAGAUGUGGAGGAACACCAGUGGCGAAGGCGACUCUCUGGUCUGUAACUGACGCUGAGGCGCGAAAGCGUGGGGAGCGAACAGGAUUAGAUACCCUGGUAGUCCACGCCGUAAACGAUGAGUGCUAAGUGUUAGAGGGUUUCCGCUCUUUAGUGCUGCAGCAAACGCAUUAAGCACUCCGCCUGGGGAGUACGGUCGCAAGACUGAAACUCAAAGGAUU